AAAAAAAAAUCACUAACAUAAUAUACUCAUUUUUGAUACAUAUUUGCACUUUAUAAAACAUAGAUUUUCUAACUCUCCUAUGUUCACUUUGCUUGUUAGAGUAUACCCUCCACCACCAUCCCCAUCUCAGCUUUUUUUUUUUUCCUACAUCUGACAUAUCCAGUAUGUACAUUCAGGACAUUGGAACAAAGACAGGAAGACUUUAGACAAGCUCUUCAAUUAUAUCUGAAGUCAGGGAGAAAGACGGGCAGUAGAUUAGCUGUUAGGGAAUUUAAGGUUGUAGAAAUUCUGGGCAGUGAAAAAGUUAAUUUGCCAGAGGGACAGCACCAUUUUCCUUUAUCUGUGUGAAGACAAAUAGAAUCUGUGUGCCAAGUGUGACUGUCACCAAUCUCUUCCUUCCUAUCCCACGAAAGGGCCUCAUUUGAUUCUUUCUUAUUUUCUUCCUUCCAAUGCAGGAUCCUUGCAAAUCCUGUUCCCUGUGCUAAGACCGCACCAAUUUCCUCCACUAUUCAGCUAAGGUAACUCUUAUUCAUCUCCAAGCUCCAGAGAACUGAAUAGAAGAAAUGAAAAAGUUUGAUGUAAACCAUAAUCUGGGCUUCUAAGAGACACAAGACCAUCACACAAUUAAAUGUAUUCAAAAGUUCCUGUAGCU